AACGAACGCUGGCGGCAGGCUUAACACAUGCAAGUCGAACGUGAAAGUCCCUUCGGGGGCGAGUAAAGUGGCAGACGGGUGCGUAACACGUGGGAAUCUACCUUUGAGUUCGGAAUAACACAGGGAAACUUGUGCUAAUACCGGAUACGCCCUACGGGGGAAAGAUUUAUUGCUCAAGGAUGAGCCCGCGGCCGAUUAGCUAGUUGGUAGGGUAAUGGCCUACCAAGGCAAUGAUCGGUAGCUGGUCUGAGAGGAUGAUCAGCCACACUGGAACUGAGACACGGUCCAGGCUCCUACGGGAGGCAGCAGUGGGGAAUAUUGGACAAUGGGCGAAAGCCUGAUCCAGCCAUGCCGCGUGAGUGAUGACGGCCUUAGGGUUGUAAAGCUCUUUUAGCGGGGAAGAUAAUGACGGUACCCGCAGAAAAAGCACCGGCUAACUCCGUGCCAGCAGCCGCGGUAAUACGGAGGGUGCUAGCGUUGUUCGGAAUUACUGGGCGUAAAGCGCGCGUA
rnacentral:rRNA from 1 species